rnacentral:tRNA from 1 species
GGACAGGUGGCCGAGCGGUUGAAGGCGCACGCCUGGAAAGCGUGUAAUGGUGAAAGCCAUUCGCGGGUUCGAAUCCCGCCCUGUCCG